GGCGAGUGAAGCGGUAACAGCUCAAAUUUGAAAUCUGGCCUCACGGUCCGAGUUGUAAUUUGUAGAGGAUGCUUCGAGCAUGGUCUGGCCUAAGUUCCUUGGAACAGGACGUCAUAGAGGGUGAGAAUCCCGUAUGCGGCCAGGUGCCUACGCUCAUGUGAAGCUCCUUCGACGAGUCGAGUUGUUUGGGAAUGCAGCUCAAAAUGGGUGGUAAAUUUCAUCUAAAGCUAAAUAUUGGCCAGAGACCGAUAGCGCACAAGUAGAGUGAUCGAAAGAUGAAAAGCACUUUGGAAAGAGAGUUAAACAGUACGUGAAAUUGUUGAAAGGGAAGCGCUUGCAACCAGACUUGCGCGCGGCCGAUCAUCCGGUGUUCUCACCGGUGCACUCGGCCGUGCUCAGGCCAGCAUCGGUUUUGGCGGCUGGAUAAAGGCCCUAGGAAUGUGGCUCCUCUCGGGGAGUGUUAUAGCCUAGGGUGCAAUGCAGCCUGCUGGGACCGAGGACCGCGCUUCGGCUAGGAUGCUGGCGUAAUGGUUGUAAGCGGCCCGUCUUGAAACACGGACCAAGGAGUCUAACAUCUAUGCGAGUGUUUGGGUGUCAAACCCAUACGCGUAAUGAAAGUGAACGGAGGUGAGAACCCUUAAGGGUGCAUCAUCGACCGAUCCUGAUGUCUUCGGAAGGAUUUGAGUAAGAGCAUAGCUGUUGGGACCC
rnacentral:rRNA from 1 species